rnacentral:rRNA from 1 species
AACGAUCGCUGGCGGCAGGCCUAACACAUGCAAGUCGAACGCUCUAGCAAUAGAGAGUGGCAGACGGGUGAGUAACGCGUGGGAAACUUCCUAGGGGUACGGAAUAGCUCAGGGAAACUUGGGGUAAUACCGUAUGAUGCCGUAAGGCCAAAGAUUUAUCGCCCUUGGAUGUGCCCGCGUCGGAUUAGCUAGUUGGUGAGGUAAUGGCUCACCAUGGCGACGAUCCGUAGCUGGUUUGAGAGAAUGACCAGCCACACUGGGACUGAGACACGGCCCAGACUCCUACGGGAGGCAGCAGUGGGGAAUCUUGGACAAUGGGCGCAAGCCUGAUCCAGCCAUGCCGCGUGAGUGACGAAGGCCUUAGGGUUGUAAAGCUCUUUUGCCGGGGACGAUAAUGACGGUACCCGGAGAAUAAGUCCCGGCUAACUUCGUGCCAGCCGCCGCAGUAA